ACUUUCAAUUUUUGUUGUUUCAUCAUUUUACAUUUUCAAUGUUUGAGCUCUCUUAAUUUGAUUAUUUUGCAUAUAUAUAAUCAAAACGUUGACUAUGUGUAUGAUGCCUUCUAACAGUUUUGUUUGUACCCAAAAAUGCUCCAAUGUUCAAUUUCUUAUGGCAUGUUUCAGUUUUCCUCAAUGCCACAGAAUAGCAGCAAGAUGGUGCCCCGACUACCACAAUUUCAGCUGCUUUAGCAGCUGCGUGACUGGUGCACUAACCUAGGAUGCUACACAGCAAUUAGGAGCAUUCAAUUUCUUAUGCUUUCUUUUCUUCUCUUUGUUACCCAAGAUUUACAUGUUUAGCCAGAUGAAGAAUUUGUAAAACCUUUUGUUCAUGUAUUGUUAUGUAGGAGGUUUGCUGCACAAAUCACCAUCUCAAAUGAAAUUGCGCUGAGGUUAUUUCAGAGGAAAAUCAACGCGCUAUUGUAGUUAACUGGUGGUACUAAUUUACAACACAUAAGAUGGAUGAGAGCUGAGAUUACAUUCAUCUGAAACGUCCUACACUGAUGUCAGAGGAAUGGGAGCUUCACGGUGGACUUGAGUUGCGGCGGUAGGGCUGUGACGUGUUGGUAUUAACGAAGCGAACAUGGUGGCCAUCAAGACGAAUAGCAGCAGCCCACCAGACCUAGGUAAGUUGGAUAUGACAAAAUUGUAUCCACCAUCUCCUGAAGUCACAUCUCAGCAAGCUACUAUUAAUAUCGGCCACCAUAGGCAUUUGGCACAUGGGAAAUCAACAGUUGUGAAAGCAAUAGAAAAAUAGUGAAGAAGAGUGUCUGCUUAAUGAGUUUGUGUUGUUAGCAAGGACCCCCAUGCUCCUCUAUUUGUCCGGUGAAGUGGUUUAUAUAGGAUAAUAGGACUAUAUUUCAACUUAUGCUCAUUAAUCAACGUUCAUAUAUUUUCUCCAUAUUUCGGCCACGGACUAAGGAGUAUAUUGUUUGACUAUUUCUUAUUGUAUCCAAGUGAUAGGGGAAAAUAAGGAAGGGAGAGAAUAAAUUAUUUGGCUUACUAAAAAGUGCAGAAGGAGUAUAAUGUUUGACUCUUACUUCCUCCUUUAUCUGGUGCACCAUUCAUGGCUGGCUCUCCAAAAUCAAUUUGUACAUCAGUGAAUGAGCGACAUGACAACAAACCGUGGAUUAGUGAAGAGAAAAAUGUUUUGGCCUUGAAGUGAGAUGAGUUUUUCAUAUUGAUAAGAAUUGGGAUGUGUGACGGUUUAAAUGUUAAAUUUUCUCCUUUUUAUGGUCUUGUAAAGCUGGGGAUGGGGAGUGAGGAGUUGUAUGGUGACAUUGUGUCUCUAUAUAUUUAUUUUUGUAGCAAACAAAUGAUAUGAAUGUACCUUAAAAUGCUAGCAUUUAUUUGAGUGAUUCAAUGUUUCCGUUA